GAUUCAUAAAGAUACUAGCUUCUUAUGAGUUGCUCAUAGAUGACGAGAGGCGCACACAAUAUGACAUAAAGGCUUCACAAGCAUGGAUUGGCUCGUAAAGAAGCGAACAGCUUUUGAUCAGAGAGGUGAUAUGGCUGUCGCAGCUUGGGACGAACAGCAACAGCAUGAGCUGAAUGUUCGUGUCCGGCGUCUAUCUCGUACAAAGUGCCACGUGUCAAAAAUGGCGACGUGUACAUAAUCCACAUGGCAUAUUCGAGUCCAGGUGUAUAGAGUCUAUGCAUACUGACUUAUCUGAGUUAAAUCUUAAACCAACGAUUCAAAGGACCAUUCUGUCAUUUUAAAUCCUCUUAACGGUGCUAA